GCCAGGCAUGGUGGCUCAUGCCUGUAAUUCCAGCGUUUUGGGAGGCUGAGGCGAGUGGAUCACUUGAGGUCAGGAGUUUGAGACUUGCCUGGCCUACAUGGUGAAAACUCGUCUCUA
ensembl:misc_RNA Metazoa_SRP Metazoan signal recognition particle RNA